rnacentral:rRNA from 1 species
CGGGGUGCAGCAGGCGCGAAACCUCUGCAAUGCACGAAAGUGUGACAGGGUCAUCUCGAGUGCCAUCCGCUGAGGAAGGCUUUUGUCCGGUCUAACCAGCCGGGCGAAUAAGGGGAGGGCAAGUCUGGUGUCAGCCGCCGCGGUAAUACCAGCUCCUCGAGUGGUUGGGACGAUUAUUGGGUCUAAAGCGUCCGUAGCCGGCUGGGAAAGUUCUCCGUAAAAUCCAACGAUCCAAUCGUUGGAUCGCGGGGAAUACUUUCCGGCUUGGGGGCGGGGGAGGUCGGCGGUAGUCCCGGGGUAGGGGCGAAAUCUUAUAAUCCCGGGAGGACCACCAGUGGCGAAGGCGGCCGACUAAAACGCGCCCGACGGUGAGGGACGAAAGCUGGGGGAGCGAACGGGAUUAGAUACCCCGGUAGUCCCAGCUGUAAACGAUGCAGGCUAGGUGUUAGGACGGGUACGGCCCGUUCUAGUGCCGCAGGGAAGCCAUUAAGCCUGCCACCUGGGGAGUACGGCCGCAGGGCUGAAUUCUAAAGGAAUUGGCGGGGGAGCAC